UCUUUUUCUCCCCUAGACUCUUCACUGCCUGAGGACAUUCCGGUUUUUACUGCUGCAGCAGCUGCUACCCCAGUUCCAUCUGUAGUCCUAACCAGGUAUCUGUGUCCCCUGACUACCUGAGGUGGGUGGAGGAAGGGGUUCUGGUUUUUGGUCCCUCAGUCCUUGGACCCAAGCUGGUCAGGCAUGAGGAAGUCUGAGAAUAAACAGAAUGGAAUAGUUGGGAACCAGAACUUGAAGAAAUCACAGCAGCUGGUAAGCUCUUGGGACAAGAGGUCAUUUGUGAUUUUCAGACAGCCUUAUGAAUGAUGUCCGACCAUGUUUAAGGGUCUUGCAGGUCCCAUUUUCUUCUGGGUUGACCACAUGUCAGUUCUGUGUUUGAGGCCCGUCAGGCACUUCUGGGACUGGAAAUACAGCUCUUCUCCCACUGUCCUGGCUUAGAUGAUACCCAAGUGUUCCAGAAUGGAAAUGGGCUGGGGCCUGGAGAAGGCCUCCCUUGAGUGGGAGGGGGAAGGAAGCCGGCUAGAGCAGGAGGGAGCAGGCUAGAUGUGUGGACAGACAGCUGCCCACCCGGUGGAAUCGGGAGAUGGUAGUCAGGAAUCUAAAGUAGUGGUUAGGUUUGGAGCUCAUGGGCAGGCUCAGAUGGAACCCUUCACCUCAACUUUGGCCCUGUGCCUUUUCCUUCAGGAGCCCCCCCAUGGAACUGCAGCCCCCUGUCUCCCCUCAGCAGUCUGAGUGCAACCCCGUUGGUGCUCUGCAGGAGCUGGUGGUGCAGAAAGGCUGGCGGUUGCCGGAGUACACAGUGACCCAGGAGUCUGGGCCAGCCCACCGCAAAGAAUUCACCAUGACC
rnacentral:sRNA from 1 species